AGGAUGAACGCUGGCGGCGUGCCUAACACAUGCAAGUCGAGCGAUCUUCUUCCGGAAGAGAGCGGCCGGACGGGUGAGUAACGCGUGGGUAACCUGCCCUGUACACACGGAUAACAUACCGAAAGGUAUGCUAAUACGGGAUAAUAUAUGAGAGUCACAUGACUUUUAUAUCAAAGCUUUUGCGGUACAGGAUGGACCCGCGUCUGAUUAGCUAGUUGGUAAGGUAACGGCUUACCAAGGCGACGAUCAGUAGCCGACCUGAGAGGGUGAUCGGCCACACUGGAACUGAGACACGGUCCAGACUCCUACGGGAGGCAGCAGUGGGGAAUAUUGUACAAUGGGCGAAAGCCUGAUGCAGCAACGCCGCGUGAGCGAUGAAGGCCUUCGGGUCGUAAAGCUCUGUCCUCAAGGAAGAUAAUGACGGUACUUGAGGAGGAAGCCCCGGCUAACUACGUGCCAGCAGCCGCGGUAAUACGUAGGGGGCUAGCGUUAUCCGGAAUUACUGGGCGUAAAGGGUGCGUAGGCGGUCUUUCAAGCCAGAAGUGAAAGGCUACGGCUCAACCGUAGUAAGCUUUUGAAACUAAAGAACUUGAGUGCAGGAGAGGAGAGUAGAAUUCCUAGUGUAGCGGUGAAAUGCGUAGAUAUUAGGAGGAAUACCAGUAGCGAAGGCGGCUCUCUGGACUGUAACUGACACUGAGGCACGAAAGCGUGGGGAGCGAACAGGAUUAGAUACCCUGGUAGUCCACGCCGUAAACGAUGAGUACUAGGUGUCGGGGGUUACCCCCCUCGGUGCCGCAGCUAACGCAUUAAGUACUCCGCCUGGGAAGUACGCUCGCAAGAGUGAAA
rnacentral:rRNA from 1 species